CGGCGGCGGUUCCGUCCUUCCCCCCGAAGUCAGCGGCGUUCCCGGAAACUCUUAACAUUUCCACGGUAGAAACAAACGAUCCUUUCACGGCGGCGGGCAUCCUGGCGGCUGCGUGGCGCGUCUCCGGCAACCCGGAGCAACCCCCGCCCUCCCCUUCCGUAACGUUACUAAACGCGCCUCGGCGACGUUUGUCUGACUCCGUCCCGAAGCGGCGAGCCGUCCGCCGGGCUGCGGGGCCGCAUGGAGCGGGCAGCCGGAGCCGGGGGGUGCGGCCGUGUCACCGACGGCUGUCACUGGGGUCCCGCCUCGUUCUAAUCAGUGAGUUUUUGUACGUAGAGAACUUGUUUUCCGCGUUCUUGCGCGGUUGUGCGACCGUCGGUGGUACGGUCCGCUGCGGAUAGCGCUCGUGUUCGUGCUGGGAUAAUUCUUGUUCGCCAGAGGCGGUACAGGUGCCUAAAAGCACUUCCUUCUCGAAGCUCGGUAUUUUUAGUCGUCUUUUAUAGUUGGAAAUGUUCUCAAGGACCAUAAUUUCUCCAGUUUGCACCACGUGUCUGAGAUCCCCCUCAAACUGAAGGGUCCCCAUCUGUUGUGUUACUUCGUGCCAUUUUCCCCCUUUCUAAUACACCUGGGUUUAAUUGCUGCAAGGGACGGUGGGAACAGUUAGGGAAGGACUUGGACUCUUUGCUGAAUUGAUUUCUUAUUCUGGUAAUUUGAAUUUUCCAAGUAACUCCGCUUAAUCUGCAUCCUCACAUUUUGGGGGGGGAAAAAUGAUUCUGAGAUACGAGACUUGAGAAGAUGAGAAGGAGUAGCCUCGUGUUGUGCCAGGGAAGAUUCAGGUUGUGUAUUAGGAAAAGCUUCUCCAAAAGAGCAGUGCUGCAGUGGCACAGCUGCCCAGGGAGGUGGGGGAGUCCGCAUUGCUGGAGGUGUUCCAGAGCCGUGGAGAUGUGCAACGUGGUCAGCAUUGGUGGUCAAUGGAAAGUUGGACUCGAUGAUCUUAGAGGCCUUUUCCAACCUGAAUGAUUCUGUGACAGAGACCGUUCUGGUAAUUAUCCUUUCUUUAUUGCUGGAGGUGGAAGGCUUCUCCAGAACUUCUUGCAGAUGACAGCUGCUUCAUUCUAGUAAGUGACAAGUGAGAAAAAUUUGUUUGGUUGGUGGGACAAACCCUGCCAUGAAACAGAACCAGAUCUUAGAGCAAGCUACAAUAAAGGCAUUUUACUUUCAUCUCAUUUUGGAGCAGUAGACAAUUACCAGCUGUCAGCACUUUUUAAAGCUCUUUUAGAAACUGCCUAGGGCUUAGAGAACUGAUGAGUUCUUAAUUUUUACAAUAGGCCCUGGUAUGGCAACCUCUGUCAUGACGCUUAGGAACGGAUGUUCAGUUUUGAUAGUGGAUCCCAUCUUUUAGGGAGGGCCUGCGUGAGUAUAAGUCUUGUCUUCUGUUCUGCCUGACAGUGGCCAAUGGAGUGCAAGGCUACCCUAAUUUAUCCUAGGAUAAAGGACAGAUCUUUCCUCAAAAAACAAACCAACAAAACCAAACACCAUAAUUCUGAGUCAUAAUGUACCAAGGGAGUGAGAGAUCCCUUGUGACUCAGGAGUCGGUGUGCAAUUUCUAUUCUUUGUUGUCUUGCACAACUGACAGUGGAGAAACUUACGUGGCUGAAGACUUCUAUGAUGUAUCUUCAGAUUUUACAGUGUGCUUAAGAGCAAUGAGGUGAGUUCUGACCAGAUCAUUCAAAUAACAGAGAAGACUUUUUUAAUGUUUGAUCGAAGCCUACUGGAGGAAGGAUGGUAAAAAGAAGUGGGGGCCAAGAAAGCUUAAAAUCAGAUCAAAUAUAGUGAGUUUUGGGUUUUUUUUUCCCCCUAAAAAGAAAAAGCUGAAACUCUCUGGAGACCUUUAUGUAAAGGUAAAAUAGUCUUUUUCUAGCAGUAGGCAAGCAUUAGGAGCUGUUGAUUGUUUGCAGUGUCACUUUGCUUAUGGGAUGUAACCUUACUGAGGUGCAAACAGUGUGCUUGUUAGGAACUGUACAAAUUCCUCUUCUACUGUUAAAAAAAAAAGAAAAGAAAAGAAAAAAAAAAAAGAACAGCCUGUAUCAGAUGAAUGAGAAAUUAUCUGCAGCAGCUGGCCACAGCCACAAAGCAAUGCACAAACCAUCACUUUCCUGUGUUUUGCAGCCAUGUGCUCUCAGCUGAUGCUUUUGAACAGUUCCAGCAUGCAAAGUGUUGAGGAUCAGCAGGCUUAGAAUGCACUGCCUCACAGUUUGAAGGAGUAGUGGGUGUGUACUGCUCACUGGGUGCUUUCAGACAUCUCAUGUCUUCUGUAGAAUGAGUUUGUACCUGGAAAAAAUAGCGUGAUGUUGGUGCUGCAGAGAAAGAGAUGAAGAGCUAAAAGUACAGCACAUCUCCCUGAGGUUGGUGUGUCCUGCUGCCCCUGUAAGUGACGCAACUGAAACUAAGCCACUUCUCCUUUCAUACAGGCUGAAGAGCCAUAUAUAGAUACAUAAAUAUAAAUGUGUAUGUGUAUAUUGUUAAAAUACUGCUGUGGGAAGAACCUCUGUGGAGGAGUUUCCUGGCUGAGCACAUUGUGUGAGCACGUGGACGUGGUGACGCAGGAAGAAAAGGCUGGGACUGGGGGAGGCAGUGGUGCUUUGUGCUGGCAUUCAGUGACUGCAAUCAUAGCACAGAUUUGUCUUCUGUCAGGGGUUCUGCUGUGUUUGACUCUCAUCCCACUAUAAGCAACUCAUGAGUGAUGUGGUUGAUUUUGACUAGGAUUACUAUCCCUGACUUUGAUUAGGAACCACAUAUCUAACCUUCUAUCAUUAUUUCUAGUGGAUGAGGCUUGCUUUGGAUUGCCUUUCUGUGAGAUUAAACACAGAUAUUUUUCUGCCUGAGCCUCUGGAUUGUAUGUUCUCUCUGGGAAAUAUCAUAUGUAUUUUGUGUCCUUUGCAUUCUUCUUGCUUUGUUGAUGCAUUAGUGAGGUAAGUGGGCAGCUCUUCCCAGAAAGCAUUAACAAAGCUGUAAGAAGCAGUAAGUCCAUGUGAAAUGCUAACGAAUAGAGUGGACAAAUCUUAAGUAAUUUGUUGCAACUGAGCCCUGUUCAGUUGGGGUGCAUAGUGGGGAGGAAAGCUGAAAGGAUCCUUUAAAGCCUGCCCCUGCCUUAAUUAAAUAUGCAGUGCAGCAAGGAGCAACAGGGCCAGUACUUUUUCUGUUUGAUCUUCUAUAUAGUCUGUCUUAUAUUAAAUUCCUGUACUGGAAGACAACAAAGGUUAGUAUUUAGAAUUGAUGUGUUCAUUCGUGCAUGGAUGGAUAGCUUUCCCUGGCAGCUUAAGGAAAGAGCUUGGUCACACGUGAUGACCAACGAGCUGCUCCUCACUGUGACAUGGCAGCCCUUUAACUGGCACACUGACCUUGGUUCAGGUAAGACACCACCCUUCCUGUAAUUGAGUACAUGGACAGAGAUUUUUAGCAUUUGGCAGUGCCUUUGGGUGCUGUGCUGCUUGCCUUCUAGGCAAUAAGGACAUAAUGCUGUGAGAUGUUACAGCCUUCCGUCACUGCAAAGUUUUGUUACUGAAUACGCAGGGUAAUUGUUGGUGCCAAAAAUAGAAAAGGAUAUUAUGUCAGAGUGUCUUCUGACUUUUGCCAGGUACUGGGUAAUCUUUGAAUGACAAAAGAAAAACAGACAUCCCCAACACUUAAUUCCUGCCACUCCAAGCACGUUUUUCUCCAUAGGGGAGCUUUCUAAAAUCUUUAUUUUAGAAAAUUUUUGUUGUUAUGCAAAAAGAUGUACGUAGACAAAACAGGUGCAGUGACAUUCAGCCUGCUGUCUGGAUGCAGGAUGAACUUUGCCCUUGCUUUAAAGGGCUGUAUCUUUACAUGCUGAUGUCACUGACUUUUUUUGAGACUUUUCUGGUAAAAGUUUACCCCGGAUGUUUGACUCUUUCCUUGUAGCGUUCUGGUGUCUGACCAGAGAUUUCACCUCCACGAAAGGUAACAUAGGGCUGUGUGGCCCCAAUCUUUGUGCCUGCAUGUACUCAGAGCUGGAGAACAGCCGUUGGGAGAUCUUAAGACUUCAGGGAAACCUUUGUGUCUCAGAGUCUAGGGUUGCAUUUCAUUAGUUAAAGUGAUCUGUGGUACCUCGUGCCAGCUGACAAUCAUCAGAUGUAUUGGCCAUUUUGCUAAUGAAGCAGAGGAUUAUAGAAGGAGCUGUAAUUCAACUGGAGACCUGUAUUUGUCAGAGGGUUGAGGCUUUUGGAGGCUGUUCAGAAUUGCUCCUUCUGCAUCCUGGGAGGGAAAGCCACACCUUUGCACCAGGAGUCCAGGAAUUCUUUCUGACAGAAUUGGAAUGUAGUUAACAAAACAGAUGGUUGGCAUUUUUCUGCCUUAAUUUAAGCAAAUAAUGAAUUUCAGUUGCGAAUCAUUCCCUUGCCUUUUUAUGACUGCUUACCUGCUAUUUGAUGUUAGCACAUCUAUUUUCUCACAGAUUUUACAGGUAGCUUUCUUACACACCCAUUACAUCUAUUAAUAUUGAAAUAAGUGGGAUUUGUUCACCUGAUUGUUUUUCAGCGUGCCGAACCAGCAGUGCCAGGUGUGUGCAAGGCAGUGUGACAGAGUUUGUCCACUGCUUUGUUCACGUGGGAACGAAGUGGGGGCAGCUCAGCGUGCCUGACUUGUGCUUGAAGGGACAGUGUGGGGAGAGUGUUUGGAUGUUAAAACGCUGGUGGAUAACAGCUGUGAACAGCAGCUUAUGGAGUCAUUAGCAAAACUAGAACGUAUCUAUUUGUUUAAACAAGUCUGGUGGUGAUUUGCAUCACCUCUACACCUUACAGAAGCAUCGCUCUGAUUUUAUGUCAGAAUUUCUCUUUUUUGCUUUUGUUCCCCCACUAUCACAAUUAACUGCACGGUGCUAUAGUGAUAGUCCUGGCAGAAUUUGGAUUUACUGUCAGAGUUAGAAUGUUUCCUUCGGCAAAAACUCAUGUUUUUAUGACUGUAGGAUGUCAGGAUGGCAGCAAGCACAUUUCUGGUCAACUAGAGUAUGUCUGCACAUAUCCAGGUGGCAGUGUUCAUUGCAGAGGGAUCUUACGCAUACGUAAGCUUUGGAAGAUUUGAAUAUUUUCUGCUGGCUGAAGCCUGUAAUGUAGAUCAGACCAAUCUUACUCUGCUCUCCUUUCUGUCUCCUGAAGACAUUCCCCACAGACCAUUCAGUUUAGCUGAAGAAGAUUAGUGCUCAGCUUUAUGGAAUAACCUAGUGACAAAUGCAUGUAUUCUAGCUGUCCUAUUAGUACAGAUGGUGCUUUGCUGCAGCACUUAGAAUUUUUGUUUCUAGUAGGAAGUAUUUCUUUGAAUCAUUUGCAAUCUUAGUCAUUACUGAAGUACAGCAGCUCUAUCUGUUGGCUAGAUGUUGGCUGUAUUAAAAUAUUAUCCUUUAAGAUCACCAAGAAGAUGACUCUUCAAUUUACAGAAGAAACAAUGCUCUCAAGACUGCUUAUGAAGGGAGUGGAGAAAGCUAGGAGUAAUUUGGAAUAAUAGAAGGGGUAAUUUAUGGACUUUUAUGAGCUAUUUCUAAAACAGGUGUGUUAGUCCUUAGAACAUUUGAGAAAAACAUGUGACUACAGGAUAAUGCAGACACAGUACGUUUUCUUUUUGCAUGACAGAAUUGAAUGCAUGGGUUGAUGGCUAUAGGCCAUUUGUAUGUUUUGGUUAAAGCUUUCAAACAUUAUUUGUCUCAAGUAUAAACUAAUCUGAUUUGAGACAAUUGUGUCCUGGUACAAGGAAGUACGAAGAGGAAAAAAAUCCGAGAUGAGUUGCUCUUCCCAGAUACUGCUGUAGAUGGUGACCACUUUGAAACCUUUCUUGACAGAGCCAGUGCAUGCUGCCAGAGAAAAGAGUGCGAGGUGCUGAGAGCCUGCAGGUAGGGAGUGUUGGGAGCAUGGGCUUCUGUGCUGCCCUGGCAGGUUGGUGAUGGGGGCACCAUGUGAAGAGGAAAUGUUGCAAGAGAUGCAAAGCUCUGUAUGUGGAAAAGAAAAACCAACAAAAAAUGCUUAGAGAGAGGGAGGCUGUGCUUGAUCUCUCUUUAAACUGAAACCUGAUCAGCUGCCAAGUGUCUUUUCCUGCUCUGAUGUUUCAGUGUCUGGGCAGGGACAUAGGGGAGCUCCCUCCAUCUUAAGCCUUGAAUAUAUUUACCUGGCAGCUGCUAUUACCCAAGCCACUUUCUGUAGCUCAGCUUGCACUAAAAGGAAAAUUCCUCAUAGUAGCUCAGUGUAGGAUGAGAAUGUGAACUAUGCCCAGGCUGAAGUCCAUAGAACUCAGAAGCUGCAGUCAUGUAACUGUUUACUUUUUUCUAGAAGCUUCAUUUAAAUUGUUUGUCAUAGAAUGCACUUUUGCCUGAAAUACUGAUUGUUUGCCAUCAGAAAUAAGUAGCCUCUGUAAGAGGGUCAUGUUGCCACCUGCGUGGAAAUGGGGAAUGGAGGAAAAUCAGUGUUGCUGUGGGUUGAAUGCAGUGUCUGAAAAAAAGUUUGGAACACUGCAAAAGCAGGUUAUUACUUUCAGAAGAAAAGUUUUGUUAUGAAAAAUCUUGCUUUUAAUUUUGGAUAGGCUCGGAAGGAAAAUUAUGGUCUCAUGGUCUAAAAGCAACUGUCAGCCUGGUACCUGGCCUUCAGUUUUGGACAGUGAAUUUCUCUGAUAACCUCUCUAGCACUGAACUCUUGGAAGUGCUCUUUAGGCUGUGCUUUCACUGGCCCCAAACCAAAUGAUCUUAAUUGCAAACCACUUAUCUAAGCUGAUGAUUACUCAACACAAAUGUGACACAGGGCUUGCAGGAGUAAAAAUUCAGGCAGUGUUUAGUGUGGGCUGGAUUGACAUUUGCAGUUUGAUAGAGAAUGGGAAGGUUCAUUUGGGUCAGUAAUGGGUGUUGAUGGGUGUGUGAAGGGACCAUCAUCCCUCCUUUUUCAAGCACCUGCCAGAGAGCAUCAUUGCUCCUGUUGAACAGCAGACAAGUUUACUAGCAAGGCCUAUUUCUGCUGGCAAGUCUGGUGUGACAAACAUACUCACGUGUGUCGGGUUAGGUAAUUUAUGGUGUUGACUUCCUGAUCAUGGAACACUACAGCUGUCAGCCUUGUAGCCUCUCGUGUCUUUCGUGGGCUUGUCCUGGAGGCUGCUAGUGGUGGUAAUACAUGUGCAUCACUUUCCAAGGUUUUAGACUUCAGGAGGCAUGAACGUGUAGGGAACAUAUAGGGAACUAAGCAAGCAUCCAAGGAGUCUUAGAGCUUCAUCCACUUCACUUUCAGUGCAAUGCCCUUUCUUUACUUGUGUGCCAGGAGGAUGUGUUCUUCUAGUAUCUAAGAUAAGCUUGUAUAAGAUCACAUGAAGCUUUAAUUAAAUUGGUUUUGCCUGUAGUUCUGUACUCUCUGCCUUGACUUCAGUGAAACAAAGUUUGGAGAACAGCAGACGUUUGAGUUCCCUGAACUCUCACUACAGAGCUGAGCAGAUGUCAGUCCCAGCACUGAGGCCUGAACAAACACUGCUUGGGGCAGCAGAUGGGCUGCAGCAAAGCAAUGUUGGCUGUGUAUGUCAGCUCCCAGCAGCAGCGUGGGGCAGUGCUGUGGUACCUCAGAGGGUGCUUUUCAUGUACAAUAAGUGCUUGUUGUAUCCCUGUGGUUUGUUCAGCCAUUCUUGUUUUACAGCACUGGUUUUGUAUCCCUGAAGUCAGUGGUAGUGAGAAAAAGUCUGAAUUUACUAGAAGCUUCUGCAGUCAUAUUCAGAAGCUUGUGUGGACUGAUUGGCACUAAGACCUUAAAUUUGUGAAUAUGGAGCUAGCUGUGUAGAACAUGAAUGGUAAUUAGCUGUCUUUUAAAUGCUGGAUUUAUUAAGAUUUACAUGUAGAAUGCACUAUCUCUACUCCCAUGUCCUGGGGAUUCCCAAGCUAUGAAACUUAUUAUAGCUCCUAAGCAGUACAGUAACCAUCUGCCCAUGGAGUGCCUACGUUGCCCAUAAACAUGAGAUCAGGUCAGGAAUAGAGACAUGCUGAUAAGUCCUGGUGUGGGCUGCCAAGGUAAUAGCACUGAGACAUUGAGCCAAGAGAAGCUGGUGUCUGUUCUGCCUCUUACCAGAGCACUGCAUGCACUGGCUGAGGUUCAAAGUGGGGUCUGGCUGGGUGCUGCUAUCAGAUGUGUUUUGCCUUCUCUGGAGACAGAACGUCUUUGCUGCUUCCCAGAGCAGUGCAGUUUGUGGGGUCUUCGUGUGGAGGGAGUCCCCCUAUUGAGCUGGGAAUGUGGAAACACCCGCUUUUACAUUCCUCUGCAACAGGUCUAAAUGUUCAGAAGUCAUCUGGGCUCUGCUGGGACUCUUUGGCAAGGUAAACGUGGGACAGUAGCACAAGGUUACCCAGUUGUGGUAUCUGAGCAUGACGUUGUAAUCAACGCAGGCAGAGAAGGGUACAGGAGAAGGAAUGCAUUUUGCUGCCAAAACCUUUCGUGCAAGAGGUUAGAUCUGGAUGUGUGCCCUUCCUGAGAGUACAUGCAGGUUCCUGCAAUUUGUAGCUGCUGUUGCUGUCACCACCAGUAGUGGCACUCAAAUAAACAAAAUUUGGGAAUGCCAUCCCACGAUAGAAACUUCAAGAGGCUAUUUCUGGAUGGAAUUGAAGCUCCAUGUGAUUCAGUGGACUGUAGCCUUAUUGUCAGAGUAGAAGUGGUUUUAAAUGGAAUUCUUUAUAUAGUAUUGUUGCUAACACAUAAGUGGGCAGUUGGAUUAAACUAUUUUGGAACUGUAUUCCUUUUUGAUACUAUACUAGCACUCUUGUUAAAGAUGUUUCGAAACAAUCUGAAAUAGCUUGGCAAAUGCUGGUUGCGAGACCAUACUCUUUACAUGCUUCAUUGUUUGUUUGUUUGUUUUCUUUAUUUAUUUGUUUUUCUUCCAGGAGAGAGAGAUUUUGACAAAAGGAAGUUAAAGAUACAACUUUAAAAUAUGUGUAUUAAAUACAAAAGUUAUUACCCAGCAAACAAGCAGAGGCAGUAGAGAGUUAGCACUUGGAUCAGUGAAUUUUGGAAUAGUGGAGUUCAGCUUCACAGGAAAAGAGAGUACCUGCAUGUGAUUACUCCUGAGACCUAUCAGCUGUUCCGGUAAUUCUCCAGAAUGUGGAAUUUGUAAAACGACCAGACAAGUGUGUGCUGCCUAUCACAGAUACCAGGAAUCCCAAGAACGUGCAGGAUUUUCUCUCAAAUUCCAGUUGCGUGUGCUUCCCUUUCCAGUUCCUUCUCUAGGGGCUAGUGGGAGCAGGAAAAGAGGUCAGUCUUGAAACACGAAGUCAAAGAGGAGGAAUUUGUGACUGUAGAGCAGAUAAUGCCCAUUGCUCGCUGUGCUUUGCCACUCCCCCACCCCCCACGCCAUUGUGGAAAGUAUGAUUAAAGUCAGCCCCUCCGCCCUGACUGUCUGAACCAUACAUACAUGCACAAAUGCCAGAUUCUCUUCAUUCCAGGCUGCUGACUUCAAGAAGGACUUGCUCUGACAAGCUGGAAAUGAGGACUGGCAGCUUUGUCUGCAGCUCAAAGGCUUUAUCUCUCUUAGACACUCUUCCUAGCAUUUCCCACAAAUACUGUUCUGCUGGUAGGAUCUGUUAUAUACACAGGAUGCCAUCAGGUACUUAUGAAUAAAGUCCUACAUUGUGUAAUUCUCAUUAGAACAGGCAAAGAAAACUUAACAGAGCGAUUGGCACCGGGCCCAUAGGAGAGCUUGCUCUCCCUGUUGCUUCAGCCUCAUUAGCUGGGGAGCGGUAGGGAGAGUCAGCUCAGCUUUUUGAUUCUCUGUCCACCUACCAUAAGGUGCUGUUCUUUCCUCCACAAAACUUAAACAGAGCUGCCUUUGUCUCUCUCUUUUAAUAUUUCCAUCAACAGAUCAUAUUCAGCUUCCAUAGCAUAUCCCUGUGGUCUCUCUUUGCUGUGCUGAACUCCCACCUGGGUAUCCCUUUGCUUCUUCCCCAUUUCAUGUGGGCAGCACAAGUUUUGACUUCUAGGAUCUUCUUACUCCAUCAGCAACUUGUCUGUUUGUUCUUGCCUUUUAGCAUUAUUGCUUCACUGAUGCUUCUGCUCAGUGAAGGAUGCCAGCUGUCUCCACCUGCUAGGCUUUUUUUGCAAGCGCUUUUAAGCUGUCUGCCUAUGCUGCAUAUGCAGGGCUGUUUUUUGCUUAGAAUAUUUAUGUUCCCUGACCUAUCUCAAUCAGCUGAUAAACUUGGACUUCAGUAAAUGCUUUCCUGGAGCGAAACUGAUUUGAGAUAUGUUGUCGUGGCUGUAGACGGACCCUUUACCACUAAAUACAAGAAGGCCAAGCUCUUCUUUAGAUGAUAUUUUGGUUUCAAAAUGAGCAUUAAAGCAAGUAUAUUUUCACAUUUAUAUAACAUUAACACACGAAACUUGAGAUAGCUUUAGUCUUGAUGUUGUAAAAUGUACACCCUGUAAUAAAAAUGUCAUAAAUCAAAUUGGA